rnacentral:rRNA from 1 species
AACGAACGCUGGCGGCAUGCCUAACACAUGCAAGUCGAACGAGACCUUCGGGUCUAGUGGCGCACGGGUGCGUAACGCGUGGGAACCUGCCCUUAGGUUCUGAAUAACUCCCCGAAAGGGGUGCUAAUACCGGAUAAUGUCUUCGGACCAAAGAUUUAUCGCCUUUGGAUGGGCCCGCGUUGGAUUAGCUAGUUGGCAGGGUAAAAGCCUACCAAGGCGACGAUCCAUAGCUGGUCUGAGAGGAUGAUCAGCCACACUGGGACUGAGACACGGCCCAGACUCCUACGGGAGGCAGCAGUGGGGAAUAUUGGACAAUGGGCGAAAGCCUGAUCCAGCAAUGCCGCGUGAGUGAUGAAGGCCUUAGGGUUGUAAAGCUCUUUUACCCGGGAUGAUAAUGACAGUACCGGGAGAAUAAGCUCCGGCUAACUCCGUG